rnacentral:rRNA from 1 species
AGCGAACGCUGGCGGCAUGCUUAACACAUGCAAGUCGCACGGUUGGGGGCUUUCGGGUCCUGGCAGUGGCGGACGGGUGAGUAUCGCGUAGGGAUUUGUCGUUGGGUGGGGAUAACCGCGGGAAACUGCGGCUAAUACCGCAUGACGCCUGUGGGCCAAAGGUGUGCAAGCACUGCCUGACGAGGAGCCUGCGUCCGAUUAGCUAGUUGGUUGGGUAAUGGCUGACCAAGGCUGUGAUCGGUAGCUGGUCUGAGAGGAUGAUCAGCCACACU